GCCAGCAGCAUACCACCCUGCAUCCCACUGCUGGCUUGCUUCUGAAGCUAAGCAGGGUUGGUCCUGGAUGGGAGACCAGAUGCUGUUGGAA
rnacentral:rRNA from 1 species